GUGGGGAAUAUUGCACAAUGGGCGAAAGCCUGAUGCAGCAACGCCGCGUGAGGGACGACGGCCUUCGGGUUGUAAACCUCUUUUAGUAGGGAAGAAGCGAAAGUGACGGUACCUGCAGAAAAAGCACCGGCUAACUACGUGCCAGCAGCCGCGGUAAUACGUAGGGUGCAAGCGUUAUCCGGAAUUAUUGGGCGUAAAGAGCUCGUAGGCGGUCUGUCGCGUCUGCUGUGAAAACUGGAGGCUCAACCUCCAGCCUGCAGUGGGUACGGGCAGAAUAGAGGGCGGUAGGGGAGAGUGGAAUUCCUGGUGUAGCGGUGGAAUGCGCAGAUAUCAGGAGGAACACCGAUGGCGAAGGCAGAUCUCUGGGCCGUAACUGACGCUGAGGAGCGAAAGCGUGGGGAGCGAACAGGAUUAGAAACCCCGGUAGUCC
rnacentral:rRNA from 1 species